UAUUGUUUCGUCGCGCAAAGUCACUUUGAGCGACGAUGUAUUGUUGUCGCGCAAAGUUACUUUGAGCGACGAAACAAUA
rnacentral:miRNA from 1 species